GCCGCCGUGGUUGCUCAGUUGGUAGAGCAUCGGACGUGUUAUUCGAAGGUCGCAGGUUCGGUCCCUGCCGGCGGCA
rnacentral:tRNA from 1 species